GACGAACGCUGGCGGCGUGCUUAACACAUGCAAGUCGAACGAUGAAGCGGGUGCUUGCACUCGUGGAUUAGUGGCGAACGGGCGAGUACACGUGAGUAACCUGUCCUUUUCUUUGGGAUAACGGCUGGAAACGGCUGCUAAUACUGGAUAUUCAGGCUGCAUCGCAUGGUGUGGUUUGGAAAGGUUUUUUCUGGGAUUGGGUGGGCUCGCGGCCUAUCAGCUUGUUGGUGGGGUGAUGGCUUACCAAGGCUUUGACGGGUAGCCGGCCUGAGAGGGUGGUCGGUCGCACUGGGACUGAGAUACGGCCCAGACUCCUACGGGAGGCAGCAGUGGGGAAUAUUGCACAAUGGACGAAAGUUUGAUGCAGCGACGCCGCGUGGAGGGUGUAGGCCUUCGGGUUGUGAACUCCUUUUUCUCGCGAAAAAGGCACAGUUUUGGCUGUGUUGAUGGUAGUGGGGGAAGAAGCGCCGGCUAACUACGU
rnacentral:rRNA from 1 species